rnacentral:rRNA from 1 species
GACAGAGGUGCCAAGCGUUAGGCGGAAUCACUGGGCUUAAAGCGUGUGUAGGCGGACCGUUAAGUGCCUUGUGAAAUCCCAUGGCUCAACCAUGGAACGGCUGGGCAUACUGGCGGUCUUGAGUCACCCAGGGGUUGCCGGAACAAAUGGUGGAGCGGUGAAAUGCGUAGAUAUCAUUUGGAACGCCAAUGGCGAAAGCAGGCAACUGGGGGUGAUCUGACGCUGAGACACGAAAGCCAGGGGAGCGAACGGG